GGUGGCCUAGUGGUUAAAGCGUCCGCCUCGGACGCGGGAGGUCGUGGGUUCGCUCCGGCCGAGUCAUACCAAAGACU